GUGGCUGUAGCUCAGUUGGCAGAGCACCGGGUUGUGGUCCCGGUUGUCGUGGGUUCGAUUCCCAUCAGUCACC
rnacentral:tRNA from 1 species